rnacentral:rRNA from 1 species
GACGAAGGGGGCUAGCGUUGUUCGGAAUUACUGGGCGUAAAGCGCGUGUAGGCGGUUGUUCAAGUCGGGUGUGAAAGCCUUGAGCUCAACUCAAGAAAUGCACUCGGUACUGGAUGACUAGAGGACCGGAGAGGAUAGUGGAAUUCCCAGUGUAGUGGUGAAAUGCGUAGAGAUCGGAAAGAACACCAACGGCGAAAGCACUCUGCUGGGCCGACACUGACACUGAGAGACGAAAGCUAGGGGAGCGAAUGGG